rnacentral:rRNA from 1 species
CAGUAGCCGCGGUAAUACGUAGGGUGCGAGCGUUAAUCGGAAUUACUGGGCGUAAAGCGGGCGCAGACGGUUACUUAAGCAGGAUGUGAAAUCCCCGGGCUCAACCUGGGAAUUGCGUUCUGAACUGGGUGGCUAGAGUGUGUCAGAGGGGGGUAGAAUUCCACGUGUAGCAGUGAAAUGCGUGGAGAUGUGGAGGAAUACCGAUGGCGAAGGCAGCCUCCUGGGAUAACACUGACGUUCAUGCUCGAAAGCGUGGGUAGCAAACAGGAUUAGAGACCCCAGUAGUCCCUGUCUCUUAUAC